GUCAUGCAUUUUCCCUCACAAGAGAGCUACGGCGUUGUGUGUUUGGGUUAACAUAAUGUACUUUUGAAUAUAUGUGAGUUUGUGUAUGUCGUCCUCCGCUUUAUCAGGACUGACCCGUGAUGAUUUGACAGGGUCGAGUCUGCUGUCUGACGGCCUUCUUUGAGGAGAGGCUGGCGGGUUCUUCAGUCGUCCUCAGUGUCCUGUAAAGCUCCAGCCCCGCCACGCUCUGCUCGUCCCUCAGCCGUGAGAUCUGCUCCUGCUGCUCCUUCAGAAGCCUCCUCUGCUGGGAGAUGAUCUGCUGCUGCACGGCGUGUCUGUUCUCGAACCUGCUGCCCGACACCGCUGCGCUUUUUGGCCCGGAGAAGCUGCCGUGGAGCUCUGAGGCCGAGGGUGCUGCAUGGCGUCGGGUCACCUGCCACGGCUGAGCUGGCUGGACCACAACACCCACAGGCGUCUGAUUUCGAUGUACGGAAGAGUCUUCUGGGGCCAACCUUUUUGACCUGGGGUGACCUUCCUACAGAGGGGAAACCAGAACAGCACGGCCCGCCACGCCCGCCAGGCUCUCAGCUGCCGCUUCCAGUCACAGAGGGCUGUGACCUUCCCUAACCGCAGCCUUCUGUCCAACACCACUGAAUACCAUCCAGAGAAAUGCCUCUGCAAACACUGAAACGACAGCAUGACAGGUUGGAAAUCACAAUGAGACAUGUGCAAACUUCCACCCACAGCACAGG